CUUAAAGCCGACCUGUCUCUCACUGUCCUGCAGGCCACCAGCCAUGGGCCUCUCAAUGUUGAUUGCUUACGACAGUGAUUUUGACCAAGAACAUGUGCUCAAUAAAUACUGCUGAAAGAAGUAAUCUGGAGGGUCCUGGAACCAAG